rnacentral:lncRNA from 1 species
UUAAUAAUGUUCCUAAAAUUUAAAAUAUAUAUAUGAUAUAUUAAUUUUGGAAAUGAAAAGAAUACUUCUCCAUUAAAGUUAUGACUUUAAUACAUUAUAUGAAGAUAGAAUGUAAAUGGAAGUUAAUCAUGUUCCUAAAAUUUUAAAUAUAUAUAUGAUAUAUUAAUUUUGGAAAUGAAAAGAAUACUUCUUCGUUAAAGUUAUGACUUUAAAACAUUAUAUGAAGAUAGAAUGUAUAUGGGAGACAUAGUAUAUAUACAUGGGAUGGAAAUCUAUAUUGAUAGAUUUUAGGAUAUAAUUGGAUUAUAUAAAGCCCUAAAUAUAGACAAAAGAUGAUAGGAAGUUUCUCAUAUGAUGAUGAACUUCAAUCAAAUGGACAACUCUAGUAAGACUAAGGAGUUGCUCUUCUCAAAGAGAACGUACUCUUUGACUUCCAAAGAAAUAAUGCGUAAAUAGAAUCCUUUAUGCAUACGCAGAAAGGUGAUUUAUGUAUUUCAUAUUGUAUGAAAAACAUUGAUAUGAGUUGUACCUAGAAAGGUGCAAGACGAUAUCAGUGCAAGCCCAGGAUCAGAACCAUGGCAACUGUCAAUUGAGUCCUUAAGUAUUUAAGAAAUACUAAAGGAUAAAUUCCUCUAAGAUCGAGGAAGAAUUAGAGUAACGUAAUGGAAGCGUAAAUGUAUUAGAUUAUGAAUCUAAU